GUGCUUGCUUUGACAGCACCUGUAUUAAAAUUGGAGUGAUACAGAGAAGAUUAGCACGGACCCUGGGUAAGAUAAUAUGCAAAUUCAUGAAGCAUUUCGUAUCUUU
rnacentral:snRNA from 1 species